AGUUCGGACUGUAGUCUGNAACCCGACUACACGAAGCUGGAAUCGCUAGUAAUCGCGAAUCAGAAUGUCGCGGUGAAUACGUUCCCGGGUCUUGUACACACCGCCCGUCACACCAUGGGAGUCGGGAAUGCCCGAAGUCAGUGACCCAACCAUAUGGAGGGAGCUGCCGAAGGCAGGUCUGAUAACUGGGGUGAAGUCGUAACAAGGUAAC
rnacentral:rRNA from 1 species